AUCUGACUGUGCUCCGUAAAACAUAUACAGUAUUCAAAAAGAAAAAUUCGUAACAAAAAAAUUAAAAUUUAUUAAAAUGUUUUCGCUUUCUGGUGCUACUGGGCUUGAUCUCAUCGUUGUCAUUUACAAUAUUUUCCUAUAUUUGGUGGCACCGUCUAUGAAAAGUAAAUGCAACCUAAACCUAAAGAAUCUCUUGUGCAGAUCCCCUCUUUUUCCAGAGCCGCCCGUCGUUCAGCUGAGUAAGUGGCAGAGCAUAUUGAAAACCAUCUGGCAAAGCAUACCGCAUUGCAUACAAGAGAUCAUCUCUCAGAUUCCAUAUGUUGAAAACUGGAUCCAAGUCGUACAGCCGCCAGUGCGAGGACUAGACUAUCUACACCCCAAAUUUGUGGACAUCUUUUGGAGCAUUUACCUGGCCAUAAACAUUCUGAUAGUGCUCGCAGCAGUAAUCCAAUUGCAAUCAAAACACCAUUACAAAUGCCUAUCCAAUCUGCUAUUUAUAAUAUUUGGUCUAUGGAUUAUUUUGGGCUUCAUUCUAUUUCUGUUGUCUUUAUGCCCAUACAUUUUUCUGACCGAAGCACCUAAAAGCAAAACUGAACGAUGAUCUCACCAAGUUCUUGAUAUGCAGCCUGGGCAUGAGCUUUGUUUACGGCGUACUUAUGAGCAAGUCUCUGAAACUGAAACCUAUCCGACGCAAGUAGAGACCUGUGAGUACAUGGCGCCGACCUUUGAAGUCGAUUUGUUAAAUUUGUCUGCUGUUCUUUUGUUCUUUUCUUUGUAAACGAUAAAUAAAUUGGACUGAUCAUAGUUUA
rnacentral:lncRNA from 1 species